GAAAAAAAAAAAACCCGGGAAGAUAUGAUUACUCCUUCAAAAUGUCAACAGCGCUUUAAGUAGUGCGCCGAAAAGGUCAAGCACGUUGAAAAUGUACCAGGAAUGGGCGGAACAGGUCUCCCAAGGGAGAAAGGUAAAAAAUGUAACCUGCGAAGCGACAGUCCAACAAGGUGACAGCUGGAAGGAACCGAACGGAGGAAAUCGGGUUCGGCAUGGUAUGAUUCGAGUGGAGCUUCAAGUGGAUUGCACAAGGUGCGCAAUAUUGUGCGAUUAGGAGUGGAAACUCAUACGCACACGCUUUCCUACGCCGCUGCUUACUGUCGCAGCCGACCGCGCAGGAUGAAGGAUUUAUUUGUUUCUGGCCGUGGAAGCCGCGCACGACGAACGGUUGGCAAGAGUAGCAGCAGGCAUAAUGUUGCGCACGUUGCAACAUUCCGCACCUGCCACAGUAUACGACCCCUGCUCUCGACGAUGGGUAGGGCCUGUCUCUGGACCGGGUUCGGGUGAGAUGCCAGCACGGAGCGCCGUGCCAUUGUGGUACGAUGUACGGGAUAGGGGACAGGCGUGUAGGGACGGAAAAAGCUACCUCAUGUGGGUAUGAGCAAAGCUGUGUAAACAAGAUAAUAGUCCACUAUCUUUUUGCACGGUCGUCGUCGUCGUCGAGCCCGGUCGUCGUUGGCGAAGUUCCGAUCCCGGAACGCGGGCCAGAAACAACAGAAAUCAUGUUGACGACGUUGACAACAAUCCUUCUUCAUCUGCUCGCUGCCCGAGAUCGCUGCCGUCAUUUACGUACAAUCUCGGGCGAUUUUUUCCUUGUCGUUGCUGCUGCUUCGCUCGCUGUCGACGGGAUGGAUGGAUUCGUUGUUGACAAACUCAGCUCGCUUGGGUAGGCAGCAUCGGGGUGGGGUUGCGAAAGAAAAACAAUAUUCCGUGCACUCAUCCCGAGCGCGGCUCAAAUCAUGCCGUCGUUGCAUGGUUUCAAGCAAUGCACCGCGUCGCGCUGUAGUUUUCAUCACAAAUGAGGAAACUUUCAGGGUUGUCAAAUACUUUCAGUUUC